UACGGAGGGUGCAAGCGUUGUCCGGAAUCACUGGGCGUAAAGGGCGCGUAGGCGGCUCAUGAAGGCUGUGGUGAAAGUCCAGGGCUCAACCCUGGAAAGCCGGUGGAUACUGUCGGGCUAGAGUCCGGAAGAGGCGAGUGGAAUUCCUGGUGUAGCGGUGGAAUGCGCAGAUAUCAGGAGGAACACCGAUAGCGAAGGCAGCUCGCUGGGACGGUACUGACGCUGAGGUGCGAAAGCGUGGGGAGCGAACAGG
rnacentral:rRNA from 1 species